AAUUCGGAGGUCCUGGCGCCCGU
rnacentral:piRNA from 1 species